UGGGGACCCCCCCCCCCGUGCUGCUUGCCCUGGCCGAGCUCCCCAGGCCCAGCUGUGCCGGGGGGCUGGCAGCCUUCGUCUCGUUUUUUAGGCUGCUCGGCUCCUUUUCCUGCCAGAUUUCUUCCCCGCCUGCUUUGCACGCUGGCGAGGUCUGGGCCCGUUCUCCAUCCCGCAGGGACCCUCGGCAGCUUCGUGCCAUGAAGCCUGCCCUCGCUCUCUGCUACAGCCUAGAUUCGCCUGCUGAGUCCCUCAGCACCGAUUUCGUGUUUCUUUUUCCUUUCCAGCAGGAUCCGUCCCCAGCUGCUGAACCCCUGGGUAUUUUUCCACGGCCGGCUCUUCCGUCAUGCUGCUCACGGGAAGAGCAGGAGAAACAAGACAUGCUUCCCGACAUCCCUCCCAGCUGGCAGCUUGGGGACUUCCUGACAAAAGCAGGUCUAAAAUAGCACCGCUCCUGAUGAUUCAGUGACUGCUCAACAAAGAAAUCAUUAGGUCCUCCGUCCCCCUGCAGCUUUCCUUCUCCAUCAAGAUCUGGGAAGGUGAAACCCAGCAAUGAGUCAAAACCAGCCAGCGCCCACCCCCUGGCUGCACGGCUCCGUGUCCAGGUCCCUUGCUCCUGCUCUUGGACAUCUGUCAAGAAUUUCACCCAUCGCUAAACUUUUCUUGUUUCCUCCUUGCGAAUAUAACAAGAAAAAAAAAAAAAAAAAAAAAAAAAAAGAGGGAAAGUUGUGGAAAAAAGAGAUUGGGAAAGCGAGGUCUUCCUGCUUCUCCAAGCCUUGUGAGCUGGUGCCACCCCAGCAGAGCUGUGAGAAGAGCAGGAAGGCCUCUUACAGCCCCAUGGUCUCACAGGGCAUGAAGACCUGGGCUGCCCGAAUUUGUUGCUGGAGCGCAGAGCUGUGGUAGCUCAAAGACAUUUUGAGGACAAAACUCAAGAGCAGCCUUUGCCCAAGAUGCCCUCCGCUGUCAGUGCGAGCUCCUGGCUUUGAGCUCUGGUGUCCAAGGGCAGUCAGCCCCGAGGGAUGGUGCUUGUUUCUAACAUUUGUGGUUUAUGCAGAGCUCCAAUGCAAGAACGCAGACAGAGACGUCCCAAGGGCCGGCCACGGCUUUAACCACAAAUCACAAAUGCUUCUGGGAGGCGGCACGGGGAAAGUGCUGGGUCUGGGCAGUCAGAUGGAGGAGGUUUUCCUGCAGGCUUCCCCUCGGGGCUGUGGCAGCCUGAGCCAGGACCGGUCCGAGUGGUGGCACCCGCCCGGCUGGGCUGCUGGCCCCGGGCAGCAGCAUCCGAACCCGUGCUUGGAGGCAAAGGGCGCUGCUGGCUUCCCCGGCUGGGCCUCGUGGGGGUAAAGCCACAGCCACGGCACUGC